rnacentral:tRNA from 1 species
UGGGUUGUGGCUCAGCGGUAGAGCACUCGCCUAGCAUGUGUGAGGCCCUGGGUUCGAUCCUCAGCACCACAU